rnacentral:rRNA from 1 species
GACUAAGCGUACACGGUGGAUGCCUAGGCAGUCAGAGGCGAUGAAGGGCGUGCUAAUCUGCGAAAAGCGUCGGUAAGCUGAUAUGAAGCGUUAUAACCGACGAUACCCGAAUGGGGAAACCCAGUGCAAUACGUUGCACUAUCGUUAGAUGAAUACAUAGUCUAACGAGGCGAACCGGGGGAACUGAAACAUCUAAGUACCCCGAGGAAAAGAAAUCAACCGAGAUUCCCCCAGUAGCGGCGAGCGAACGGGGAGGAGCCCAGAGUCUGAAUCAGUUUGUGUGUUAGUGGAAGCGUCUGGAAAGUCGCACGGUACAGGGU